CCUACGGGGGGGUGCAGUGGGGAAUAUUGGACAAUGGGCGAAAGCCUGAUCCAGCCAUGCCGCGUGUGUGAAGAAGGCCUUCGGGUUGUAAAGCACUUUCAGUGGGGAAGAAAGCCUUGGGGCUAAUACCCUCGAGGAAGGACAUCACCCACAGAAGAAGCACCGGCUAACUCCGUGCCAGCAGCCGCGGUAAUACGGAGGGUGCGAGCGUUAAUCGGAAUUACUGGGCGUAAAGCGCGCGUAGGCGGUCUGAUAAGCCGGUUGUGAAAGCCCCGGGCUCAACCUGGGAACGGCAUCCGGAACUGUCAGGCUAGAGUGCAGGAGAGGAAGGUAGAAUUCCCGGUGUAGCGGUGAAAUGCGUAGAGAUCGGGAGGAAUACCAGUGGCGAAGGCGGCCUUCUGGACUGACACUGACGCUGAGGUGCGAAAGCGUGGGUAGCAAACAGGAUUAGAUACCCCGGUAGUC
rnacentral:rRNA from 1 species